CCUGGAUGUGAACCCGAGCGCC
rnacentral:miRNA from 1 species